AGUCCUUCUGUGGAGUUGAAAUUGGCUAGAGAGGAGAAAGCAGUUUCACUGGUGGAGUCUUAGCAGUUGCUGCUGAUUUUAAUUGUACCUUUAUCGGUGUCCUGAUGAAAGGAAUAUCCAGUGAAACCUCCGGGCGCGGCAGUGAUGCUUUCAGGUGCAGCUCUUAGUUCCGAGUUGGGCAACCUCAGGUGCAGCUCGUGUUCGGAGUCAGCGCAGCUCUGAAGUCGCUGGCUCAGAGGGAAGCAGCAGCCGAAGGAGAAUCCCUGGAGUGCUCUGCGGUGCCAGAAAACGCGCAGGAGGACACGAAGAGAGUCUUCAACUUAUUAUGGUUCAGUGUGCUAUUUGUCUCGGGCAAUUCCCUGGCAUGAAAUAGUUGGAUGUUAGAAAAGGACUUGCAGGAAGUACCUUACAUGGUUGCCCUCUCAGCUUCCCUUUGGUUAUGAUGUAAAAGGCAGACCCUUGAUCUGAGUCAUCAUGGCUGUUCCUGUCUUUCCUAUCCAACUAUAAUCUAUAUAUUAACUACAGCAACAGACUGUGCUAAUAUUAGCUGCAAAAAGAGAUUUAUUGAUCUAUUAGAAGGGCUUGCAGUGACAGGAUGAGGGGCAAUGGUUUUAAACUGGAGUGGAGCAGAUUUAGGCUGGACAUUAGAAGGAAGUUCUUUACAAUGAUAAAAUACUGGAACAGGCUGUCCAGGGAUGUUGUGGAGGUCCUGUCUCUGGAGACAUCUGAGAUCAAAUUUGAUGUGCUCCUGGGCAGCCUGCUCUAGUUGGAGGUGUCCCUGCUGACUGAAGGGGAGUUGGAGAAAAUGACCUUUCCAACCCAGUGUAAUCUGUAAAUCUAUUGCAGCCAGCCAGUGGCUAGUUACAUUCCUUUGCACCAAUAAGCUCAACCACUUGGGAAUUUUAGGAGCUUAACAGUUUGAAACAAAGUGUGUCAGAGUAUUUUCAUGUAUAUAUGCCUGAAGUGUUGUCAGGUCACUUUUUGGAGGUGUUAUGUGGUAGUUUUAAAAACAGAGUGGGUUUUUUUUUUGUUCGUUGCCGUUUCGAUCCUUCAAAAAUGGUGUCCUGUGCCUUGCUUAGGCAUUGUUAUUUGUCCCGCCUUUUAAAUUGGCCUAUUUUUCACCUGGAUGCCAUUAUGCUUUUGUAAUGUACUGAAUGUAGCAUUUUGCAGGUGAUUAAAACCCAUUCAAAUAACUUUACACUUAGAUAA